rnacentral:rRNA from 1 species
AGCGAACGCUGGCGGCAGGCCUAACACAUGCAAGUCGAACGGAUCCUUCGGGAUUAGUGGCGGACGGGUGAGUAACACGUGGGAACGUGCCCUUCGGUUCGGAACAACUCAGGGAAACUUGAGCUAAUACCGGAUGUGCCCUUCGGGGGAAAGAUUUAUGGCCAUUGGAGCGGCCCGCGUCUGAUUAGCUAGUUGGUGAGGUAAAGGCUCACCAAGGCGACGAUCAUUAGCUGGUCUGAGAGGAUGAUCAGCCACAUUGGGACUGAGACACUGCCCAAACUCCUACGGGAGGCAGCAUUGGGGAAUCUCGCGCAAUGGGCGAAAGCCUGACGCAGCCAUGCCGCGUGAAUGAUGAAGGUCUUAGGAUUGUAAAAUUCUUUCACCGGGGACGAUAAUGACGGUACCCGGAGAAGAAGCCCCGGCUAACUUCGUGCCAGCCGCCGCCGUAA